GUCCACUUGUUCAGGGCUGAGCCAGGACACCCACCCCAGCCAGUAGCUCAUGCUCUGCUGUUUUGCAAGGAGCCGCCUCUCCUCAUGCAGCUGAGCAGUCGUGAGGGCUGCCCACAGGGCCAGGCCUGGGCAAAGCCAGUGGCCAGGCCCAGGUGCUCCCACUGGCACAGCCCCAUGGCACAGUGGCUCUCCACCCCUCUCAGGAGCAUUUCCCAAAGAUGAUGAUGCUCUUUCUCUGUUCUCUUUUCAGGUGCCUUCUUCCCCCUGAACCAACCACAGCUCUCGCUGAAGCAGUCAGGCUGAGCUAUGUUCUUACAGGACCUAAGCAAAGCUGAAGCUGCACAAAAGGGAUUUAGCUGAGCGCAAGCUGCAGCCCAUGAAACACCUCAUUAUAAGUUUGCCAUUCUGAUCAUAGGAGACUUUUUGUAUAUUAGUCAGAACUAAAUUACUGUUUCUUCACUGGUACUGUAAGAAAGUGUAGGUCUAUUUGUGACCUGAAAAACAGUGGUUUCCUUUUCUUCUUUUACCUGUGAUCAGUAUUCUGUCCCUUGCAGUAAUUAUACUGUUGUGAUAAAAUCAAAGCUCAAUAUUAAUGUACUACGUUCUGGAAUAUGUCUCAGAAUCAAUUGCUAAGGAUCGAUUAGCACACACUCCCAGCUAACACAGCAUUACUAAUAUUACCUGAUUAUAUGUAGCCUUGUUUAUCAGACAGUGGAUGUAUUUUCAGACAUCUGCGUAUAUCCAUGGCUUUUCUCACAUUGUUAUCUUUUAAAUCUCUUCCUACUUUUCUCAGUUUUCUUCAACAGCUUUCCAGCCCUGAGCAGCACUGGACCAAGCCGUGGUGUUGGUUCUCCAGAGCAGCAGCAGCAGCAGCCCUAGCAGCCAUCCCUUCUCUGAGCGUGGAAGUCUGUGUUUCCUGAAUCAACACACUCAGCACUUGGCUUUUUCUUCCCGCUAUUACUCAGAUCACAGCCCUGAUCACAUCGUGCACUACACACAUCGCUUAUGCUGCUGGUACGUGUUUUGUAGCCACGAGAACAGCAAGCAGACAAUUCACUAAACUUUGUAAUUGAUCACUAAUGGAUGUGGUAAAGUUCUCCACCAGUCUGAGUCCCUAAAUCAGAGCUGGCUGUCUUUCAGAAAGGGAUGGUCAUACUCAGCUAGAAUAGAUUGGGGUGAUGCAGAGAUAAUAGGGCAAAAUAAUGGCACGGCUGCUUCUAUGCAGGAGAUCAGUUUAAAUGCUGGUCUCUUUUAAUCUUACUUUUUUUUUUUCACAAGGAAGGUGGUACAUACGCCCAUCAGCAUACAUGGUAGACUGCAGCUGGGUAUUAACUCUUUCAUUUAUGCAGGGCUGUGCAGCUCUGGGUAGAGCUGUUGUUCUGCCUCCCAAGCACCUGUUCAGGAAAAGAUCUUAAAACACAUUGUUUCAUAUUAAAAAAAAAUAUCAGUCUUUUGCUUCCAGCAUCUGGUGCAGAAGGACAGCCCUGCUCUUCCUUCGCUUACAGAGCAGUUGUGUUACACAGCUUGCUAGGUAAGGACAGGCCAGCACAAUUGUAUUGGUGCCAAGAAUAUUGCUGCUGAUUGAGAUCACUGAACCAUGUCAGAGCUCAGCUGCAUCCAUGUCAGAGAAGCAUGUCUGAGACUAGUUACAGCUAACAAGCCUCUAUUUGACAGGGAAAGUAAAAAAAAAAAGGACCAGAGUGAGAUUUAUGACAAUUUCAAGUACAGAAUAUGCAAUAUGAACAGAUGAGCCCUUAUAAUGUUAAGGUCCGUUUUACAUACAAAUACUUUCUGUGGCUAGAAAAAGAGAAAUUCAGAAAAUAAUAGAAAGAGAUACAACAAACCCUUCUUCAAGUAAAGUUUUUCUGCAUCUCCCAUGGGAUUCUGUUGAAUGGUUGAAGGCAAAAAAAAAAAAAAAAAGGAAGAACAGAAACUGCUUGCAACACAGAGCAAACCUUGAGUGCCAAGAACAUGCUCUGGAUUUUUGUGUAAGAUGUCUGGUUCUUAUCUCAGCCCUGAUUCAUCACAGUUUACUCUCAGAAUUAUUUGGAAUUCAAGGACCUUGCUCCUAUGGUGUUAAUGGGUUAUGUUCAGCACAGAAACCUGUGACACAAAGCAAUGUUUAAUUAUUCAGUCCAGACUGGUUUUUGUGGUUAAAUGAAAUAAAAAUAGCAAGAAGACCAAUUAUAUUGUUUUACAUGACUUACAUUUUGUAGGUGAAAUAUUUUUUCUCUUAACCAUGUAAUCCAGGACUGCACACAGGAAAGAGGAGCCACAUAAAAGAGGGGUUGGGCUGCUUGUGACAUGGAGGUUCAGCCUGCACAUGACUGAAGAGGAGAAGGAAAGCAUUGCCAUAAAAGUGACAGUAGAAGUGAAGAAUUGUGGUGGAUGUGUAAUGCACCACUGAAAGGAGAAAACAUACAAAGCUGGAAAUCUUAUCAUGUCUGGAGUCUUUCUAUUCCAAAGCAGGAUUUGAAGGGAAGAAGCUACAGCCCUUGUUGGCUCACAUCCCUUUCUUCAUAUAUGGGGAAAAAAAAUGUUGAAGCGAUAUGAUUACCAUAAUUGCUACCUCUGUUCAGAAAGACAAGGUGGUUUUCCACCCUGAAUUCAGCUCAGCCAGCCACCAUAGUACCAGUCAGGAACUAAUGCCACAAGCUGCAGCCACAAAUGUAUUGUCUCACACUUCAAAUGCACCAUACAGGAUGCUAAGGCACAUUACAGAUGCAGAAGCGCUGAAGUAUUAUGCAGCAUUCCUGUUACAAGGAAUUUGCAGGUAGCUAACCAACGAUACAGUGUCAAACAAACACUGUCAAAGGUAUGCUGCUCCAAUAGCUAGCAAAGCCAAUUUGAAAUGAUGGUUCUAAACAUGGGUUUUCUAUGAAGGCUCAGGCUUAACAUAUAAUUAUCUGAGCUCUGUUUGGAGGGCAUGCUGUGGCACUAGGUUGGAAAUAGGCAGGUCAAAGAAAUAAACAAGAUCAUUUCAAGCCAAAAUCAUCACCAAAUGCAGUCCUGCUGUGCAAAGGAGAAAUCAUAACAGGAUAAUAACUCCCAAACCUCCUCAGCUGUUGUCUAGCUGCAGCUGCCCAGGGGAUAGGCUCAAGAUAGAGCUCUCCCUGCUGCAAGAGGCACUGAAGCUCUGGUUAAGCAGGUAUCUGUGGUUUGGUAUAAAUUUUAAAGUCAAACUGGCUAAAUGACUUGCUGUAUAGGUAAAGCCUUGCAGUUUUCAUUGCUGUUCUCUUGCCUUCUCGCUCUGCUUUGUUGCAGUAACUGGUCUGCCUUGGUGGAUUUGGUUGUAAGUGGCCAUUCACAGCUGGCUCUAAUUUAAAAAUUCAAGGUGGUGGAGGGGCAGCUUUUAACCCAAAACAUUUUCUGAACUUCUUUAUUUUUUAAGAAGUCUUUCACUUGUAAGGUAUGUAAACUAAAACUGUUUGAAUGACAGAGUUUGGGAACUUUGGAAAGUUUGUGUUUAAGUUCUGUUUCACCUCUGCUUUCCUAUUCUUUUCUCCUCCUGUCUCCCUUUUGUUUUCAAUUGUAUCACUGAAAAGAGGGGCAAUGAGAGGAAAACAAAAUAAUGGAGAAAAUAAUAGAGUAUCAACGUACUACUUUUCCUUUAAAUGCAUGAGGAAGUUGUGAUUAUUUCUCAAUUUAUUUAUUUAUUUAUUUUUCCAAAACAAAGAAAAAAAUAUUAACUGUAUAGCUUUCUUUUUCACCAUGGUAUUUCAUACUGCUUACUGGUGAGAUGAUGGUUAAUAUUUAGAUAACCCAAGAAUGAGGAGACAGUGGUGUGUUCUUAGCAGAAUUAGCAUAAUGGAUGUACGAGGAGGAAAGAUAGAGUGCAGCCAUCGUGUGUUAGGCACAGAAGGGUUAUUGUCUGUGCCCCAAGAAGUAAGGAGUUGUUCUGCAAGUGAUGGUGGAGGAAAGGGAGUUUUGUACUCCCUUUGUGAUACAGAAAGAAAAGCAUUGCUGCGUAAAUGAUAGUCAAAGAGGAAAAGUAAAUUGCGUAUGACAGAGAAGAGUGGAGUAGUGUGACAUAAGUUGGAAAGUGUCCUUUGAAAGUCGAAAAGAAAAAAAAAGAGAGAGAGAAGAGGGACUGUAGUUGUGCAAGUAGGACUGGAAGGCAAGGUUUGCUAUGGGGGAAGAGUAAAAAUAAUAAUAAUAAAAAAAAAGUUGUAUGGCUAAGAAAAGAAGCACAAUUUAUUUCACAACCAAGCACUUGAAAUUUACAGGCAAAACAGUCCCCAUGCACAUGUAGUGCUGUGUCUCUGUAGUUAAAAGGAACACACCAUUUUCAGAAAUAUUUUGAGCAAUAAUUGAGUAAUGAUAUCUGAAAAGAUGCUUGCACAUAAAACCGAGAUCAGGAAGCACAAUAGGUGUACUGAGCUACUAUUCCUUAUUUUUCAUGGUUAGGAUUUCCAGUCUCCCAGCAAUAAGACAGAAGGGUCAUAACUACUUACCUAUAGAGAAGCAGUGAAAGCACAGAUGGAAGAGUUUUGUUGCUCUUGCGACAGAAAGAAGAACUGUUUGGGGCAUUUUCAGUGUCCAUGUCUACGUUCACAUUUCCACACCAUAUUCCACUUCGGCAGUCCUUCUGUAAGAUGUUAGGUAAUGGCAUGGGCUGUGGUGCACUUCAUUGGUUUUGUAUCAUGAGAAAGUAGAAAUAAGACCUUAAAAUAUUAAUUAUUUAUAUAUUUGUUAUGGCAGUACCUGGUUAAAGACUUCCAGUUAUUUGGGAAUUGGUUUGUUUUCAUACAAUGAUCCUGACACCCAGUUACUCAAACAUAUCACGCUCAAACACAGUGCAACACUUGGUACCAGGAACCACAUUUCAGAGGUGAAGCUGGGGUCAGACGCAUUCCUGCUAAUUGUACUGAUUGCAGGAGGGUUAUUCCCUGGUUGAAUUUGUUCUCUGAUGUUAAAAGGGAUAGCUGCUAAUUGCCUCUAAGGAGGACUCAGAAACAGAAAUGGGAGCUGGACAGUAACUCCCUGCCCAUGCACACACACACAGAUAAGUGUGCUAAUCUUUUGGGGGAGUGUGGUAUGUGAGGAGCAAGUGCAGGUCAAGCUAUGCAGGGGCUUGGAGUGUGAUACACAACCACUGAUGAAAAAUGUUUCUGCAUGCUCAUUUGUUUUGUAACAUUGAUAUUGACUGUGUAAAAGAAAUCUAGUAUAUUGACCUGAUUUAUUCAGAUCAGUUCUUCAAAUCAGUGAAGUGGCAUGGAUACCAGAUCAUUCCUGCAGUUCCUACAAUGUUCUGACCAGGCUCACAUUUGAAGCUUUUGCCUUUUUACAGUGUGCAUCUCCUGACCUUCAGGUACACUGCCCUGAAUGCACUGCCUUUGUGUGCUAUGAUGAUGGAGGCAGAAAAUUACCCUGAAGUUUAGCAGGCUUGGUUCACUGCUCAGCAGAGUUGGUGGAUGAUUUUCCAUUAGCUUCAAAAGUAAAGGAGCAGGGCAAAACAACUAACCCGAGUUGUUAUAAUCCUGUUUGUAGGCAAAGGAAAAUAUAGAGUGAUGCCAGCGAAGUAUCUGAAUUGGAAUGAUAAAGGCAAAUCUGGAACACCUUUGUAACUGUUACCUAGAACGUUAAAGGUUACGUAAAUAAGACUGACUUUUAAAAUGAUUUCUUAUAAAAGCUCUGCAAAAUAUCCACAAUGCCAUUUGCAAUUGUACCGCCAUAUUAGUGUGUGGUAUGAGUUCACUGCACAUUUCCCAGGUGGCAAGCAGUGACUGUGGAGCAAGUUUUGAUCUGAUACCAGGAGAAACUCGGUCUUGAUCUGAAACUUGUCAAGUUUAGGAUGAGUCAGUGUGGACUUGAACAUGAUCUCUGUAAUCAAAAUCAACAUAAUCCUUGCGAAUGAAAAAUGUGAUCAGCAACUGCAUGCUAACAGCACCUAGGGCAAGUCUUCUGGACCCGCUGGAAAGCAACCAUGGCCAGAGAAAAGUGUUUUGUGCUGGCCCCAUAGAACCUGUGGUCAGGCAGCUUAUCAUUAAGUCUCCCCCUUACCAAAACAUUGUCCCCAGGCAGAAACAGCUUUUCUGUUAGGUAAGUGUCUGACAAGGUGUUUUUGCUUGCUGAGGAGUUGAGCGUGACCUAAUUAAAGGUGAUCUAGCGGUGCAGAGUUCCCACUUGAUUUUGUUCUUCCCACAGGCUGGUAUUUUGCAACCCAAGACUUCAGCUCAAAUCCAUUGUGCAGAAAUAGUUUUGAACAUAAGGCAAGGCAGGGGAAAACAAUUUUUUCAUUAACACACCUGAGCUGUCAGAGAUUCUGUUCCCUCUGUUGAGGACGAUGAAAUUGCCAAUCCCAAAUGCUCCCUGCCCUUCUCUGAGAGAUAAGUGACUUCAUCAACACGAGCAGAACAAACAAAGAGCUCCGAACCAAGAUCUUGGCAGGUUCAAACCUUCCCAGUCCAAGAUGAGAAAACAAGGAAACACUUAGAGCAGUGACAGCAUCUGAGCCUUUUAACAAAUGAAAGGACCUACAGGCUAACGAUAAAGGCUUUAGAGCCAAUCGGCCAAGCUCAUCCCUGCUUUAAACCUGUUAUUCUUCCAAUUCAAACAACAGAAAAGGGGCAAACAAGAGAAAUCCUUGGUAGCAAAUGUGAUUAGAUGAAGCAAACAGUAAGAGCUCUGCAGUAAGUGCAGUUCAUCACACAAUUAGUUCCUUCCCAGCUUCACCAUCCAGACAUCCCUUCUCUGGCACAGUGCCAGCCAGGCAGUCAGGACUGAGCUGGGGGAUUAGAAAGUCAUGGUAGAUAUUUUUCUUAAAUUUGAGGGGGAGGGGGAAAGAGAAAAAAGGGAUUUCAGUGCUAUCAUUUCAAUAUUUAUUUUCUCUUCUAUAAUUUUAGAAAGCAUAGAGAGAACAGAGCUAUAAACAAUAUCAUUUAAAACAUGGGCCACAUUACUGCAGGUGCUUAUGAAACAGAAGCAGAGGUGACGUUUUAUGUAAUAUAUGUCUGUUCAGUUGGAGCAUUGGUUUGUUCUGGCUUUUUCUGUUUUUCUUUUUUAGGCAGUUGGAGUAGAGGAAUGAAAAUUAACCAGCGUUUCUCAAAAACAGUGGUUUGAUCAAAAAACAAGAUAUUGAAGUACUUCUGGAAAUAACAAGACUUGGUACCUGGCCUUUGGCUUCAGUGGGAUGGCUCCUGGCUCUUUAGAGGCUUUGCCUGAAUCCAUCAUGAGGUCAGCAAGUAGGACUGCAAGAAGAUUUUGUUGAACCUGAACUUCUCAAUAGUGGAAAAAGCUCCUCCCCACUGGAUCACAGACGUACAAAAGCAGAGUGGUUUUAUUGCCUUAUCUCCUCAACAGGCAGACAUUCUUUCUCCUACAGAUCUCCAUCAUGGUAUGUUUUAACUUAGUACAAAAGAAGAUCAUCUGAGGAGUAAGGUGCCUGAUGGGGAAGAAGAGAUGCUUGUGUCCAGUUUCCAUGAUCCUGCUGACACUGGAGAUACCUGCUGUACAGGCUUUUUUACCUCACCUUGUUUGGUAUGUCCAAGCUCCCCAUUCCAUGACAGAGCCAAGCAGCUUCAGCCAGGCAUGAGGACCUUCGUACAUGAAAAGCAGUGAAGAGCCAUAUCCCUAAAGCAUGCAACUCUUGUAUAUGACAAAAGAUAAUGGGUGGAUACCAAGAAUUGAAGGUAACAGAAAGAAAGAGAGGACAUAUUUCCACAGCUUGGCAAAAGCAGUCUCCAAAGUCCUCAAACAGCUGUGGAAAAAUAGUGAAAGGAGAGCAAAUAGCCUGUUUGUCCUCUAUCUCAUGGACACAGUGCCUUGUGAGCCCUGGAGGGUAUCUGCUCAUAUCCAAGCUGUGAAAGCAGUUGCUGUGCCUGCCACAUCACAGCUUCAUAGACACACCAAUGCUUGCAGUACAGUCAAAAUAUGCUUUAAAGCCCAUUUCAGCAGCAAGCUCUCUGGAUUCUGUGCCAGGAAAUGUUAAUUACUGUGGUGCAGUGUUCUGUUUUCUGUGGUGCAAUAACAAUUAAUUUACACCAUUUGGAAAAACACUUUUUUAUUAAAAAUCAAUAGAAGCAAAUCAAUGCAAUGUAAAGCAUACAAUACCAAAAUGAAAAGCUCUUGUUUUUAUACUUGGGCAUCCUUAAUAAAAUUGCACUGUAGAUUCAGGCAGUUUGUCUAUUGUAAUCUAAUGAGAAGCUGUCAAGCUUCUUUUAAGCGUUCUGGAAAUUACCAUGUAUUGGGGCAGCCAUUUUUAGUCAAAGAAUUCAAUAAUUAACCCCCAAGUUGUAAGUCAAUAUGAUGAUGGUGCAGGUGCCGCUGCAUUUGUCUCUCUGCACUGCAUCACCUAUGCACCUGACAAUCUGUGGGACCCAUUUUGAAUCGAGAUGGAGGUUAAUUUUUAUUUAUAGUUAUAAUUAGAAAAACACUAGCUGUAAUGAAAACUGCUCCACCGCUGGAACAUAUCACCACAGAGUAAAUUCCACAGCAAUUUUUGCAUUUUAAUAGGUCAGAGAGUAACACAAAUGAAUUGCUUCUUCCUGGGGGAACUUGUUUAUUCUUUGGAAUUUAAUGAUUUACUGGAACACUGAUCUCAAAGAAAAAAAUCCCACAGUUGUUUUUCUACCAUUGCCUCAACUGCACAAGGUGCUGCAGACCCUGGGAAGGCAGCUCACACCUGUAAUUGUACAGCUCCUGAGGCUCCCCUGCACAAGGUACUGGGGCCUACCUGCCAGCUCCUCAGCACCCUGCUGCACAUGGCACAGGAGCUCAGGGACUUCUCCAGGAUGAUACAGCUCCACCACAGAAGUGCUCCCUCAGCCCACAGCAGGAUGCAUCCAGCUGCUACAGUAAGGAAUGCUUUACCCUUUAGGCACAAGCUGCUGUUCCCCUCCCCAUGGUCCACCGCCAUGGUCUGCACAUUUAUGAGUGCAGCCACAACUACAGCUGGUCUUCUCUGACUCAACCAGAGCAGGAAGAAGCAGGACAAUUUUAAUCCAAUGGAAGCACUCAUGGAAGCAGCCAAGGACAUAUCACUCUGGAAGGGCAGAUCAUCAUUUCCUUUCUCCAGACAGGACUACUAUGGGUUUGAGUUUGACUAUUUUAACGGUGAAUUGAUUUUUUGUGUGAAGUGAUCUAGGUAUGACAGUAGAUUUUUCAAAGUCAUUCGGUAGCUCAUGACAGUGGGCUGGGAGGACAGGUGUCAUCAAAUAAAAAGGUAUGAACUGGACUAAUUUAAAAGGAACGCAGAGGUUGUACAGAACUGCCAGAAACUCCAUCGCUUUGGUACAGCGAUGCAAGGAAAAUAGAAACAGUAACAAAAGAAGACUUUGAAAUUCAAAGUUUUACAAAACAGGAUAUUUGAUUUGGAUUGUAUCUAGAAAUUGCAAAAGCUUGGCAAAGCAUCACUGAGGUACUGCAAAAUAUUUGUAAUCUGCAUAAUCUUUAUAUGCCACAGUCUUUCCCUCUACUGUGGGAGCUGUGAUGUAACCAUGAAUUUGUUAUUGGGGUGGCUGACACUAAUGUUCUUACAUAUUAAAAAAAAAAAAAAA
ensembl:lncRNA